ACCGACAUAGCUCAGUUGGGAGAGCGUUAGACUAUAUAGAUCGAAAGCUUCCUGGUUCGAUCCCGGGAUUCGGCA
rnacentral:tRNA from 1 species